AACCCACCCAAACAAACACAGAAGAUAAGAAGAGAGGGAAUAAGAAGAAGAUGAUGAUGAUGAUAAUGAUUAAUCGACCACCCAAAUUCUUGUUCCUUCACCUCCUCCUUGCCUUUUUACUAGCAGCCAUUGCAAUAGGAGAUGUCACUCCAGGCUCAACUCUCUAUGCCUCUGACACAGAUCAGGCUUGGCUUUCUCCGACCCAAACUUUCUCAUUUGGCUUUAUCCCACUCAGCCCCCAGAGUUCCCCUCCUUCUUUCCUUGCUGCCAUCUACUAUUCCGGUGGCAUCCCUAUUUGGACUGCAGGCGCCCCCGUUGACUCAGCUGGUUCUCUCCAG
rnacentral:misc_RNA from 1 species